rnacentral:rRNA from 1 species
UUGAACGCUGGCGGCAUGCCUUACACAUGCAAGUCGAACGGCAGCACGGGUGCUUGCACCUGGUGGCGAGUGGCGAACGGGUGAGUAAUACAUCGGAACAUGUCCUGUAGUGGGGGAUAGCCCGGCGAAAGCCGGAUUAAUACCGCAUACGAUCUACGGAUGAAAGCGGGGGACCUUCGGGCCUCGCGCUAUAGGGUUGGCCGAUGGCUGAUUAGCUAGUUGGUGGGGUAAAGGCCUACCAAGGCGACGAUCAGUAGCUGGUCUGAGAGGACGACCAGCCACACUGGGACUGAGACACGGCCCAGACUCCUACGGGAGGCAGCAGUGGGGAAUUUUGGACAAUGGGCGAAAGCCUGAUCCAGCAAUGCCGCGUGUGUGAAGAAGGCCUUCGGGUUGUAAAGCACUUUUGUCCGGAAAGAAAUCCUUGGCCCUAAUACGGUCGGGGGAUGACGGUACCGGAAGAAUAAGCACCGGCUAACUACGUG